AAAUAAAAUAAAAUAAAAUGUGAAUAAUGUCCAAUGGAUAAGGCAUCCUAUGAGGCAUUGAAGAAGCAGAUCAGAAGAUUGGGUGGUGGAUGAUUAAAAUAUUAUUUUUUAAUAAAAUAAUAUUAAAAAAAACUUGAAUAGUAAAUUUUUUUUUUGCUAUAAAUAGCCAAGGGAGGGGAAGAAGGAUUAUGCAUAAGAAAGAGGAAAAAUAAGAGAGAAAGAGAGAGGAGAGAAAGGAAAUAAUUACCAAGAAAUUUUGGUUGCAAAGAGAGUAGAGAUUCUGGAGGAUUUUCGGGGUAACAACUUCUGAGUAGGAAACUAAGUCUGGAAAAGAGGUAAGGGGAGCUAACCUUUCUAAGCUUUUAUAUUAUAAAAUAUUUUUUUUAACUAUUUAUGUCUUGAAAUUUUGUGCAAUUACUGUCAAUGAAAAAACCUAUGUUCUUGUUGUAUAACUAUUUGAAUUU
rnacentral:lncRNA from 1 species